rnacentral:rRNA from 1 species
GAUGAACGCUGGCGGCGUGCCUAAUACAUGCCAGUCGAGCGAACGGACGAGAAGCUUGCUUCUCUGAUGUUAGCGGCGGACGGGUGAGUAACACGUGGAUAACCUACCUAUAAGACUGGGAUAACUUCGGGAAACCGGAGCUAAUACCGGAUAAUAUUUUGAACCGCAUGGUUCAAAAGUGAAAGACGGUCUUGCUGUCACUUAUAGAUGGAUCCGCGCUGCAUUAGCUAGUUGGUAAGGUAACGGCUUACCAAGGCAACGAUGCAUAGCCGACCUGAGAGGGUGAUCGGCCACACUGGAACUGAGACACGGUCCAGACUCCUACGGGAGGCAGCAGUAGGGAAUCUUCCGCAAUGGGCGAAAGCCUGACGGAGCAACGCCGCGUGAGUGAUGAAGGUCCUCGGAUCGUAAAACUCUGUUAUUAGGGAAGAACAUAUGUGUAAGUAACUGUGCACAUCUUGACGGUACCUAAUCAGAAAGCCACGGCUAACUACGUG